rnacentral:rRNA from 1 species
GAUGAACGCUAGCUACAGGCUUAACACAUGCAAGUCGAGGGGAAACGACAUCGAAAGCUUGCUUUUGAUGGGCGUCGACCGGCGCACGGGUGAGUAACGCGUAUCCAACCUGCCCACCACUUGGGGAUAACCUUGCGAAAGUAAGACUAAUACCCAAUGACGUCUCUAGAAGACAUCUGAAAGAGAUUAAAGAUUUAUCGGUGAUGGAUGGGGAUGCGUCUGAUUAGCUUGUUGGCGGGGUAACGGCCCACCAAGGCGACGAUCAGUAGGGGUUCUGAGAGGAAGGUCCCCCACAUUGGAACUGAGACACGGUCCAAAACUCCUACGGGAGGCAGCAGUGAGGAAUAUUGGUCAAUGGGCGAGAGCCUGAACCAGCCAAGUAGCGUGCAGGAUGACGGCCCUAUGGGUUGUAAACUGCUUUUAUAAGGGAAUAAAGUGGGUCACGUGUGACUUUUUGCAUGUACCUUAUGAAUAAGGACCGGCUAAUUCCGUG